GACGACGAUGAGGUGUUGGAAGAAAUUGCUGAUGAAGUCUUAUUAUUGUUGGCUGAUGGACAAACUUAUACACCAUCUGUAGCUCAGCAAAUACCUGACUCUGCUCGAAGUUUGGUAGCAUGUACUACAGGCGAUGUACUUCAACCCAGCAGGAGUGCAAGUGACAACGAAGUGGCAAGCACAAGUUCAAGUGGGACAGAGGCAUAUGCCAGUCACAAAUCAUCUAAUACAUUAUCAUUGCCUCUGCCAGAACUCUCACGGGCAACCCGAGAUGACUUACAACAGGGAGAUAAAUCAAGACGGGUCUGGUUGCAGCUGAUAGAAGAAUCCAAGAACUACUACAUGAAGUAUUGCCCUCUGCUUGAUGAAAACCCUUAUGGGGCAUACAAGAUUAUUGGAGAGAAGAUGUUAGCUGCUUACCCUAGUAUCGAGAGGGAAGGGAAACAUAAAUGGAGCCAGUAUGCGAAAGCACUCAGUCAAAGUAUACGCACAGAGCGUUUUAGACGUAAAAGAAAAAGCCUUCCUGUAACUCCACAAGAACAACAGCUGCCCCCUAAAAGGUUCACUGUGGGAAAGCACAUAGUUACAGACGCCAGUAAUGCUCUUCCAG